CGCAGCGUAGCUCAACGGACAGAGCCCUCGCUUUCUACGUGACAGACAAUGUUCGCGGGCGAGGAGAUGCGGGUUCGACCCCCGCCGCUGCUA
rnacentral:tRNA from 2 species